rnacentral:tRNA from 1 species
GGGGUUGUGGCUCAGUGGUAGAGCACUCACCUCACAUGUGGGAGGACCUGGGUUUGACCCUCAGCACCACA